rnacentral:rRNA from 1 species
UGGGGAAUAUUGCACAAUGGGGGAAACCCUGACGCAGCAACGCCGCGUGAGCGAAGAAGGCCUUCGGGUCGUAAAGCUCUGUCCUAUGAGAAGAAAAUGACGGUAUCAUAGGAGGAAGCCCUGGCUAUAUACGUGCCAGCAGCCGCGGUAAUACGCAGGGGGCGAGCGUUGUCCGGAUUUAUUGGGGGUAAAGGGUACGUAGGCGGUUUUUUAAGUCAGGUGUCAAAGCGUGGAGCUUAACUCCAUUAAGCACUUGAAACUGAAAGACUUGAAUGAAGGAGAGGAAAGUGGAAUUCCUAGUGUAGCGGUGAAAUGCGUAGAUAUUAGGAGGAAUACCGGUGGCGAAGGCGACUUUCUGGACUUUAACUGACGCUCAGGUACGAAAGCGUGGGGAGCAAACAGG